rnacentral:rRNA from 1 species
CAAUAGCGUAUAUUAAAGUUGUUGCAGUUAAAAAGCUCGUAGUUGGAUUUGUGGCGUACGGUGUGUUCCGGGCACUUGUUGUCUGAGUAACCUGCUGUUGCCAUCCUUGGGUGGAACCUGUGUGGCAUUAGGUUGUCGUGCAGGGGAUGCCCAUCAUUUACUGUGAAAAAAUUAGAGUGUUCAAAGCAGGCUUAUGCCGUUGAAUAUAUUAGCAUGGAAUAAUGAGAUAGGACUUUUUUGCUAUUUUGCUGGUUUGCGCAAGAAGGUAAUGAUUAAUAGGGACAGUUGGGGGUAUUCGUAUUCCAUUGUCAGAGGUGAAAUUCUUGGAUUUUUGGAAGACGAACUACUGCGAAAGCAUUUACCAAGGAUGUUUUCAUUAA